rnacentral:rRNA from 1 species
UACGUAGGGGGCUAGCGUUGUCCGGAAUCAUUGGGCGUAAAGCGCGCGUAGGCGGCCCGGUAAGUUCGCUCUGAAAGUCCAGGGCUCAACCCUGGAAUGCGGGUGGAUACUGCCGGGCUAGAAUCCGGAAGAGGCGAGUGGAAUUCCUGGUGUAGCGGUGGAAUGCGCAGAUAUCAGGAGGAACACCAAUAGCGAAGGCAGCUCGCUGGGACGGUAUUGACGCUAAGGCGCGAAAGCGUGGGGAGCAAACAGG